AAUUUCUCCUCUGUGAAUCUGUCUGAGAACCUCUUCUUCCCCAGCACAGUAUCCCACCCAGAACACUACAUCACAGCAGUUGUUAUGCCUCCUCAGGUUCCUCAGUUUCUCAGGCUUUUUUCUUAUUUUUUUUGUGGCCUUGACUGAUCUGAAGAGCAUUUACUGGCCAAGUGAUGUGUGAAUUGUGAAUUUGAAGGAAGGCAAGCAAAACAGUAAGCCCUAGAGCUGCCUCACCACCUUGGAGUUCUCAAUGCAAGACAAGGAUGCCUGUGUCUGGAAGUCAUCUUGAACUGGGGAAACAACUCUGCCCAGAGAGACCCACAGUUGUAGAAAUUCUCAGAAGAGAUCACCAAAGAACAGAGAACUGCACAAAGAGAGUUCCAGACAUCUGUGGAAGAAUCUGCAAGGGAAACCACCACUAAAAAAGAGCAGGCACUUAGUGAGCCAGGAGGAGAUGUUUGAGCUGAAGCAGCCCGGAGAUAAGGCUGAAGAGCCGGGCCAGAGGCAGAGGGGCCCCUGGGCAGCUAUGAGUCCAGGAGAAGAACAAAGAGGGCAAUGGAGAGGAACUGACAGAACUGAAAAGACUAUGGUGGGUGAAUGUGUUUCAAUGAAUCCUGGAUAUUUCAUUAUACUGAUGUGGGG